GUAUCGUGGCGGAGAAAUCUAGCAAUAAUAUUGGAAAUUGUGUGGACCAAAGCUUGUUUGUUGAGUUAAAUUUUUGUUGCUAUUCUGAAAUUGAUUUUAAAGUUAUUCUUGGAUUUUUGAAUCAGCUGCUGGGUUUGUCAAAAUUCGAAUCAGUGUCAAAAAAAUUUGGAUUAUAAUUUUAAGCUACUGGUUCAAUGGAUGUGGAGGUGAUAUGAUGAGUGGUCUCAGCUAUAAUAGUGAUGGUCACCUACGAUGAUUUGCCGGAGAGAUAGG
rnacentral:lncRNA from 1 species